CUAGAGGCUCUCAAGAGCCUGUGUCGCUCACCUGACUCUACUUUGGUUUUAGAAAUCAUGUAAAGAUAGAUAAAAAUCAUAACAGAUACCCAAAUAAUGAUUGAGGCCAAAUUUUGAUUAAUAUUGGUCCCGUUAUUUAAUAAAAUAUCCUGGUGGCCAUCUUGAACAGUAAAUCGGCAACAAAGUAGCAACACUUGGUCAGCACUUCAUAAGGAACAUUCAUGCCAUGUUUGGUUUCAUUCCAUUCAGUGGUACUCUAAAAGAAGACAUUUGUAUGAAUUUCCCAUAGGUCCUUUGUUAAACUAAGUCCCCUGCUGUCGGCCAUCUUGGAUGAUGGACUGACUGCAAAGUAACAACACUUGGUCAGUACCUCAUAAGGAACAUUCAUGCCAUGUUUGGUUUCAUUCCAUUCAGUGGUUCGCUAAAAGAAGACAUUUGUAUGUAUUUCCCAUAGGGUCCUAUGUUAAACUAAGUCCCCCGCUGGCGGCCAUCUUGGAUGAUGGAUCGGCUACAAAGUAACAACACUUGGUCAGCACCUCAUAAGGAACAUUCAUGCCAUGUUUGGUUUCAUUCCAUUCAGUGGUUCUCUAAAAGAAGACAUUUGUAUGUAUUUCCCAUAGGGUCCUAUGUUAAACUAAGUUCCCCGAUGGUGGCCAUCUUGGAUGAUGGAUCGGCUACAAAGUAACAAGACAUGGUCAGCACCUCAUAAGGAACAUUUAUGCCAUGUUUGGUUUUAUUCCAUUCAGUGGUUCUCUAAAAGAAGUCAUUUGUAUGCAUU